rnacentral:rRNA from 1 species
GACGAACGCUGGCGGCGUGCUUAACCAAUGCAAGUCGAACGAAGUGGCGAACGGGUGAGUAAUACGUGGGUAACCUGCCCUCCUUUUUGGGAUAAGCCUUGGAAACGGGGGCUAAUACCGAAUAAAGGGGGAUGGGCUCGCGGCCUAUGAGCUUGGUGGUGGGGUGCUGGCCUACCAAGGCGGUGACGGGUAGCCGGCCUGAGAGGGGGAACGGCCACAUUGGGACUGAGAUACGGGGGGGAGGGGGACGGGGGGGGGGAGUGGGGUAGGGGGCACAAUGGGCGAGGGCCUGAUGCAGCGACGCCGCGUUGGUGGUGAAGGCGGGGUGUUUGUAAACCUCUUUCGCUAUCGAACGGGUAGGUGGAGAAGAAGCGCCGGCUAACUACGUGCCAGCAGCCGCGGUAAUAC